rnacentral:rRNA from 1 species
UUUGAUCMUGSCUCAGGAUGAACGCUGGCGGCGUGCUUAAUACAUGCAAGUCGGACGGAGAUUGUAGCAAUACGAUCUUAGUGGCGAACGGGUGAGUAACGCGUUGGUGACCUGCCCCGAAGAGGGGGAUAACAGAUCGAAAGGUCUGCUAAUACCCCAUGUGGUCUAAUUGGUUAGAGGCGAUUAGACUGAAGGAGCAAUCCGCUUCGGGAGGGGCCUGCGUCCCAUCAGCUAGUUGGUAGGGUAAAGGCCUACCAAGGCGACGACGGGUAGGGGACCUGAGAGGGUGACCCCCCACACUGGCACUGAAACACGGGCCAGACACCUACGGGUGGCAGCAGUAGGGAAUAUUGCACAAUGGGCGAAAGCCUGAUGCAGCAACGCCGCGUGCGCGAUGAAGGCCUUCGGGUUGUAAAGCGCUUUUCUGGAGGACGAGAAAGGACGGUACUCCAGGAAUAAGGCUCGGCUAACUACGUGCCAGCAGCCGCGGUAAAACGUAGGAGCCAAGCGUUAUCCGAAUUCACUGGGCGUAAAGCGCGUGCAGGCGGUCUGGUAAGUUGGGUGUGAAAUCUCCUGGCUCAACUGGGAGAGGACGUUCAAUACUGUCAGACUCGAGGGCGGUAGAGGGAGGUGGAAUUCCCGGUGUAGUGGUGAAAUGCGUAGAUAUCGGGAGGAACACCAGUGGCGAAAGCGGCCUCCUGGACCGCACCUGACGCUCAGACGCGAAAGCUAGGGGAGCAAACGGGAUUAGAAACCCCGGUAGUCCUAGCUGUAAACGAUGUUGACUGGGUGUUGGUGGGGUAAAAGCCAUCAGUGCCGAAGCAAACGC